AACGAACGCUGGCGGCAGGCCUAACACAUGCAAGUCGAGCGCCCCGCAAGGGGAGCGGCGGACGGGUGAGUAACGCGUGGGAACGUGCCCUUUGCUACGGAAUAGCCUCGGGAAACUGGGAGUAAUACCGCAUGUGCCCUACGGGGGAAGGAUUUAUCAGCAAAGGUUCGGCCCGCGUUGGAUUAGGUAGUUGGUGGGGUAACGGCCGAACAAGCCGACGAUCCAUAGCCGGUUUGUGAGUAUUAUCAGCCACACUGGGACUGAGACACGGCACAGACUCCUACGGGAGGCAGCAGUGGGGAAUCGUAGACAAUGGGCGAGAGCCCGAUCUAGCAAUUCCGCGGGAGCGAUGACGGCCUUGGGGUUGUAAAGCUCUUUCAGUGGGGAAGAUAAUGACUGUACCCACAGCAGAAGCCCCGGCUAACUCCGUGCCAGCCGCCGCCGUAAAAC
rnacentral:rRNA from 1 species